CCCAGCGAGAUUUCUCUCCUCGUCCUCCCUGUCUUCCUGGCGACCGCCAUGGCGCCGACCACGCCGAGCUCCAGCGGCGUCAUCGCCUCCUGGGCGCCGCCGAGGCAGACGGCGACGGAGGACACGGCGAGCAUGCCAUCCGCGAGGUGCCUGCGGAGGACGGCGGCGGCGCCUCCCCCUCGCGGAAGCGCUACCCCCACGCCGCCGCCUCCCCAUCGAUGCCGCCUCCAUCCCUAGCCCAACGAGGCGGCGACCCCCUCCCUCCCUUUCCAUGGCAGAUGCGGCGGCAACAGACCCGCCUCGAUGCCUUCCUUCCAUCCACGGCGUCCUGCCUGGCCGGCUCGGCGCUCUGCCUCUCGCGACGCCGGACGCCGCGGCGGCGCCCAAGUCCCCCGUGCCGAUGGCCAUCUCGGCGGAGAGGCUCAAGGUGUUUGGCAUGCGGUGUCAUACGAGUUUGACUUGAGGACGGCAAGAAGAUCCUACUCGCGCGCCUGCUCGAGGACAUCAACCGCUGGGACUUCGAUGACCUCCCCAUCGGGUCUCCCAGGCCAACGCCGACGACAUGGUGCUCGCUGAGAUCUGGAGGGUGGGGGUCGUCGAGCCCACCCUGCCACCCUUCCAGCUCGCCGGGCCCAUGCAGCUCUGGAUCCAGGACGGCAACCAUGUCAGGCUCCCCUUCCCAGUAAGUGCAGGAGUUCGUUUUGCCCCUAAAAGUAUGUGAAUUGUAACGCUCUUGUUCUGGUUGGAAUUGACAUGUGUAUGCAUGAUCCUUGCUUGUUCUAUAAUAUGUGAGACUCUAGAGAUUGAAAGGUUCUUAUUGGCUUAUUGCAAGGGUAAAGCCUGCCAUCCGAAUGGCCAUCAAAAUUGAAAUUGUAGAGGCAGCUGUAAGGACUCAUGCUGUUUGUUCCAUUUAGCUUUUCACUGCGAUUCGUGGAAAAGUUGUUAUUCUGAAUGGCUCCCCAAUCAAAGGUGUCAAUCAAUCUAAGAAACAUAUUGGCCCUUGCAGUGCUUGUAUACUGUUUUUCUCCAAAUGACUCUCCUUAUUUGAAUAUGUUCAUUCCAUCAACAGCAUCAUCUCAAGAUGAGUUAGUGAAGGCUCUUCUGGUAACAUAGGUAGGCAACUUAUACCAUGCAUGCAGUUUACACACUUUUCAAAUUUGUUUGACUUGAGAAUGAUAAAUUGAUGUAGAAACUAUAUUGUUACUUGUCCUCUUUACCACAAUUUAUCAGAACAAUUUAAUUUGAAAAGAAAAGUUACUUUAUUUUACUUUAGAGGGCCAACUGGCCAAGUUCAACCGUGGAUUUCCUUUAUUUUGUUUUGCACAUAUGGACUUACUUUUUCUUGAAAUUGUACAUCUGCAGUUCCAAUCUGAUUUGUGCCACAAUAAAAUUACAGCGAACUGAUCAAGAAUCACUAAAUUAGCCAAGCUUCCUAAUUGUUUGUAUCACCACAGUACGGCCAGCGGUUUGACGGUAUUCUCCUGGGAAGAGGCCAACUGCUCCGCGCCCUUCUAAAUCCAAUACAGCAGCUGUAGACUCGAAGCUCUUACUUGCCUGUAGUUGAUUUUUCAUCGUGCUCAAUCGAUUGACCUGCAGGAAAUGGUCAUCCUAGCAAAAACUAUUGUUUUUUAAAUAUUACAUUCUUCUGCAUCAUGGAAUUACCAACUGUUGACGCAGAUCUGGAGCCAACACACCAAAGCGCUAGAAUGCGCAGCGAGCGACGGCACGAUGCAGCGCCGAUGCUCAG